CCGGCACGGGUGAGUAACACGUAUCCAACCUGCCGUCUACUCUUGGACAGCCUUCUGAAAGGAAGAUUAAUACAAGAUGGCAGCAUGAGUUCACAUGUUCACAUGAUUAAAGGUAUUCCGGUAGACGAUGGGGAUGCGUUCCAUUAGAUAGUAGGCGGGGUAACGGCCCACCUAGUCUUCGAUGGAUAGGGGUUCUGAGAGGAAGGUCCCCCACAUUGGAACUGAGACACGGUCCAA
rnacentral:rRNA from 1 species